UGCCAGCCGCCGCGGUAAGACGGAGGGUGCAAACGUUGUUCGGAAUCACUGGGCAUAAAGCGCACGUAGGCGGUCCGCUAAGUCAGAUGUGAAAUCCCUCGGCUCAACCGAGGAACUGCACCUGAUACUGGCGGACUCGAGGACGGUAGGGGUGAGUGGAACUCCAGGUGGAGCGGUGAAAUGCGUAGAUAUCUGGAGGAACACCGGUGGCGAGGGCGACUCACUGGACCGUAUCUGACGCUGAGGUGCGAAAGCUAGGGUAGCAAACAGGAUUAGAUA
rnacentral:rRNA from 1 species